rnacentral:rRNA from 1 species
UAGCAGCCGCGGUAAUUCCAGCUCCAAUAGCGUAUAUUAAAGUUGUUGCAGUUAAAAAGCUCGUAGUUGAAUUUCGGGACCAAUUUGUUGGUCGUGCCUCGGUACGUACUGGUAUUAUUGGUUUCUCCCUUCUGAAGAACCUUGAUGUCAUUAAUUUGGUGUCUUGGGGAAUCAGGACUGUUACUUUGAAAAAAUUAGAGUGUUUAAAGCAGACAUACGCUUGAAUACAUUAGCAUGGAAUAAUGAAAUAGGACAUCGCAUUCUAUUUUGUUGGUUUCUAGGAUCGAUGUAAUGAUUAAUAGGGAUAGUUGGGGGCAUUAGUAUUCAAUUGUCAGAGGUGAAAUUCUUGGAUUUAUUGAAGACUAACUACUGCGAAAGCAUUUGCCAAGGAUGUUUUCAUUAAUCAAGAACGAAAGUUAGGGGAUCGAAGACGAUCAGAUACCGUCGUAGUCUUAACCAUAAACUAUGCCGACUAGGAUCGGAUGAUGUUAAUUUUUUAAUGGCUCA